rnacentral:rRNA from 1 species
CGGGGGGAGCAAGCGUUGUUCGGAUUUACUGGGCGUAAAGGGCGCGUAGGCGGCCACCGCAAGUCGACUGUGAAAUCUCCGGGCUUAACCCGGAAAGGUCAGCCGAUACUGCGGGGCUAGAGUGCAGAAGGGGCAACUGGAAUUCUCGGUGUAGCGGUGAAAUGCGCAGAUAUCGAGAGGAACACCUGCGGCGAAGGCGGGUUGCUGGGCUGACACUGACGCUGAAGCGCGAAAGCUAGGGGAGCGAACGGGAUUAGAUACCCCGGUAGUCCUAGCCUUAAACGAUGAAUGCUUGGUGUCUGGGGUUUUAUAGUCCCCGGGUGCCGUCGCUAACGCUUUAAGCAUUCCGCCUGGGGAGUACGGUCGCAAGACUG